UACUGUUUCUGCCAUCGAAACGAUAGUAGAAUUUCUGUUUAGUGCAUCGCUCCCCAGAGGUCUCUGAUUAAAUCGAAAAAUUUGUGAUGGAGUCCGCAAUCGGAUGUUUGAAUUGCCUUUUCUCCGUUUUCUUAUUUACUGUUUUAAUUUGUGUACAAAAUAUCUACAUCAAUGCACAUGAUCUAAUAAAGACAAUUGAGAAUAAUGGAACAGUUUUUGACUUUCCUGACUUUGAUGCAACUGAACCUCCGAAUUUAGAAAAUCGUGUAAGUAUUUUUAAAGUGUUAAAACUUGGGGGGUUUACUGACUAUUCAAAAAUUUAAAAAAUUAAAAACAAAAGAUUUAAAAUAUAAAAUAUGGUGAAACCUAUGUAAACUGCAAUUGUACAGAACUGAAUUAUUUUUUCCAUCUUGGCAGGUUUCCCUUUUGAACUGGGUUGUCUUUCUUUUUUCUUUAAACUAAAUCAGAUAAAUGUCAUAUAGUUACAUUCAAUUUUUAUAAUAAAAUCAUUUUAACAUACAUAAAAAAACUUUUAUUAAUAUGCUUAAUUCAAAGUGAUUUUAACUAAAGGUGGGAAUAUUUGAAUGUAAGAAUUGAGACCUUUUGAUUGCAAGAAGUUCUAAUUGUUCCCUAGAACUUGUGCUAGGUACAGUGGUACCUCAGGAUAUGAAAUUAAUCCGUUUCAAAACUGAGAUUGUAUCAUGAAAAUGUCGUAAGG